CCGAAGGGUCCCUGGUGAUCAUUUGGAUCAUAACAACCCCACAGAGGAGUGGAGUAAGCUCUGAGAGUUGCUGCCUGGAUCCAUCCUUUUGGCUAUGUCUCUAGGCAUUUUGAUGUUUUAAGUGACUAUAGUUAGGAAGAAGACCACUCCCUCUACCAAAUUUCUUGAAGAACUAACACUUUGUACAUUACUGAGAUCUGUGGGUUUUUACGGGCCUUCCCCUUCUCCACAUCUGAAACCAUGAAGCGUCGAUACGAGGAGGAGUCAUCAAAUGUCAAGAAUACUGGGCAAGGAACCCAAGAGACAGAAGGGAAUAUAAGAGAAGAAGACUCUCCACCACAGCCUGGGCCCAGUGAGGCAAUCAAGGCAGAAGAUGAGCAAGAAAAUGAGAAUUCCUCUGUCUACUAUUCAUUUUCCUCUUCUUUCUGUUCUUCCUCCACACUAUCCAAAACCACUGAAAAAGGGCGCAUCUAUUAUAUCCAAGUGAAAACUAUAAAAGGAGUGGCCAUUGCCUGGGAGACUGAGAAUGGAAUGGACCCAAUCCAGAAAGCACCUCGAAUUUAUGAAAUGAACCCAUCUGACCAGAGCAUGCUAGAGCCUCCAACAGGUGAAGUUCUUGCUGAUGUAGAGAAAGGUAUGGAUGAGCAGAAUGAGGAGGAUAAAGAGGAGGAAACACCAGGACCUUCAAGACUUUUUGAUGAAAGGAGGAGGAGAAAGAUCCCUGACUGGAUGAUUUCAACAGAUAAUGGCUACCGUUGUUUGGCCUGCUGCAGGGUAUUCAUCACCUUGGAGGACCUCAGGAAGCAUGCUAAACAAGGGCCCAAGGAAGGAUUUAGCUGCCAUGUUUUUAACAAAAAAAUUCAUGAAAGACUAAGAACCCAAAGAAAUUCAGUCCCAGGCAGAGAUGAUCAUUUAACCCUAAGCUCUAAAGACCAAAGUAAGUCACGUGAAGAUCAGGGUAAAGGUCAGCAAGGAAAAGGUCACCGUACACGCCGUGGUACUCAUAGCAUGGAAAUGCACCCUGACAAGGAUGUGGAAUGAGCUGGGGGUAACAGUCAUGGGGACUCUGGUUCUUCUAUCAAAACACCCCUCCUCCAGUCACCCUGUAUUAAUUCCCAAGCCAACAACUCUUUGAAACCCCAGUAGGUCCAGGAGACCACCAGCCACAGCAUCUCUAGCUCUCAUUUGGAAGGAGGUCAGAAGUCACAGGGAACAAGAAAGAGAGCAACAAAUCCCAGAAUAGGACCAACGAGAAUAGACUCUACAACCAUCAAACCUCCUUAAGGACAGGAAUGGUCUCACUUUUGUAUUGACUGAUCUCCAUAUUAGAUUGGAAAACAGAAGAGAGGAAGCUCACACAGUUUUUAUCAUGAGGAAAUGAUUUCCUGAUCACUUCUAUGAAGUCUGCAAUAAGACUGUGUUCUCAAGCAGUGAUGAAUCUGGCCAAGUAGGGACUGAUGAUACAUGGACAGUCCUAUUCAGGCAAACAAAAUAUAGACUUCUAUAGAGGUGAGGCAGAUCAAAAAAAGAAGAGAAGAGUUGGCAGGAGAGAAGAACCUAUUAUUCUUAAAGAAAAUGUGAGGCUGAUCCUUCUCUGCUCAGAAACCUUCAAUGACUCCCCACUGCCAACAGGCGGCUGAACUGAAGAGGAGGAAGCCUGCCACCGCGAAGGAAAAGAGCAUUGGAGAAAGCCCCGAGAAAGUAAAUGGCUUACCCAAGGCAGUUUGGUGGGGCAGUGGACUAGAGCACUAGGCACGGAGAGUCAGGAACACUUGAAUUCAAAUCCCUUUAUAGAUGGAGAAAUCAGAAGAUAAGUUUGCAAAGGUGAAGAGAGAAGAGGAGAAGCUGGAGCAGUAAAGUUAGAGAUGCGAGAGUUCCGUAGGGGCAAGAUUGGUAAACAUCCUCAGCAAGCUGCAUGUGGGCCAGGUAACUAUGGCCAAAAAGUGAGCUGCAUCCAGAAGAAAGAAAGCAAGCCUGCCACCUACUGAAAGUUCCAGCCCCUAAUUGAAAAAAAUCCAACCACAUGAAGAUAGGAGGAUAAACUUGAAAUCCAAGGAGGAGAAGACCUUCCAGGAAUGGCCCUAGCAACAGGAAAGCAGGAAGGAGAGGGCAGAAGAGGCAAGAGACUUCAUCAAUGAAAAAAGAAAGUGUCUAUCUGAACCCGGAACAGUGAAGAGACAACUAAGUACUGGCUUUGAUGGGGAAGCUCUCUGUCCUGAACAGAGCUUUUGAAAAAUAAAAUGUUUCUCACUCAUG